rnacentral:rRNA from 1 species
GUGGGGAAUCUUGCGCAAUGGGCGAAAGCCUGACGCAGCCAUGCCGCGUGAAUGAUGAAGGUCUUAGGAUUGUAAAAUUCUUUCACCGGGGACGAUAAUGACGGUACCCGGAGAAGAAGCCCCGCUAACUUCGUGUCAGCAGCCGCGGUAAUACGAAGGGGGCUAGCGUUGCUCGGAAUUACUGGGCGUAAAGGGCGCGUAGGCGGACAGUUUAGUCAGAGGUGAAAGCCCAGGGCUCAACCUUGGAAUUGCCUUUGAUACUGGCUGUCUUGAGUACGGGAGAGGUGAGUGGAACUCCGAGUGUAGAGGUGAAAUUCGUAGAUAUUCGGAAGAACACCAGUGGCGAAGGCGACUCACUGGCCCAAUACUGACGCUGAGGCGCGAAAGCGUGGGGAGCAAACAGGAUUAGAAACCCUGGUAGUCC